rnacentral:rRNA from 1 species
UACGUAGGUGACAAGCGUUGUCCGGAUUUACUGGGCGUAAAGAGCGCGCAGGCGGUCGAUCAAGUCGAGUGUGAAAGCCCCCGGCUCAACUGGGGAGGGUCAUUCGAUACUGAUCGACUCGAAGGCAGGAGAGGGUAGAGGAAUUCCCGGUGUAGUGGUGAAAUGCGUAGAUAUCGGGAGGAACACCAGUGGCGAAGGCGACUACCUGGCCUGUUCUUGACGCUGAGGCGCGAAAGCUAGGGGAGCAAACGGG